UACGUAGGGUGCAAGCGUUGUCCGGAAUUAUUGGGCGUAAAGAGCUCGUAGGCGGUCUGUCGCGUCUGCUGUGAAACUCAGGGCUUAACCCUGAGCUUGCAGUGGGUACGGGCAGACUAGAGUGCGGUAGGGGAGACUGGAAUUCCUGGUGUAGCGGUGAAAUGCGCAGAUAUCAGGAGGAACACCGGUGGCGAAGGCGGGUCUCUGGGCCGUAACUGACGCUGGAGGAGCG
rnacentral:rRNA from 1 species